CCUUUGACGUUAGCGGCGGACGGGUGAGUAACACGUGGGUAACCUACCUAUAAGACUGGGAUAACUUCGGGAAACCGGAGCUAAGUACCGGAUAAUAUUUCGAACCGCAUGGUUCGAUAGUGAAAGAUGGUUUUGCUAUCACUUAUAGAUGGACCCGCGCCGUAUUAGCUAGUUGGUAAGGUAACGGCUUACCAAGGCGACGAUACGUAGCCGACCUGAGAGGGUGAUCGGCCACACUGGAACUGAGACACGGUCCAGACUCCUACGGGAGGCAGCAAGGC
rnacentral:rRNA from 1 species